rnacentral:piRNA from 1 species
GAAAGUACUAAUAGUCCCUGAUAUGCAGAAA